GCUCCGGUGGUGUAGCCCGGAAGCAUGGCGGCCUCUCGAGCCGCAGGUCCCGGGUUCAAAUCCCGGCCGGAGCACCA
rnacentral:tRNA from 1 species